UACGGAGGGUGCAAACGUUGCUCGGAAUCAUUGGGCGUAAAGCGCACGUAGGUGGCCUAGCAAGUCGGGUGUGAAAUCCCUCGGCUUAACCGAGGAAGUGCAUUCGAAACUACAAGGCUUGAAUACUGAAGAGGGUCUCGGAAUUCCCGGUGUAGAGGUGAAAUUCGUAGAUAUCGGGAGGAACACCAGUGGCGAAGGCGGAGACCUGGGCAGAUAUUGACACUGAGGUGCGAAAGCGUGGGGAGCAAACAGG
rnacentral:rRNA from 1 species